rnacentral:rRNA from 1 species
CAGUAGCCACGGGAAUACAGAGGAUGCAGGCGUUAUCCGGAAUGAUUGGGCGUAAAGCGUCUGUAGGUGGCUUUUCAAGUCCGCUGUCAAAUCCCAGGGCUCAACCCUGGACAGGCGGUGGAAACUACCAAGCUAGAGUACGGUAGGGGCAGAGGGAAUUUCCAGUGGAGCGGUGAAAUGCGUUGAGAUCGGAAAGAACACCAACAGCGAAAGCACUCUGCUGGGACGACACUGACACUGAGAGACGAAAGCUAGGGGAGCAAAUGGGAUUAGAUACCCGGGUAGUCCCUGUCUCUUAUAC